AAAUCUCCAAUUAAAGCCAGAACAAAUGUGUUCACAAGAGGCAAAGGUGACAGAGAACAGAGAAUCUACCUCUGGUUUGACCCUACAACUCAAUACCACAUAUAUUCAGUGCUAUGGAACAUGUACCAGAUUAUGUAUAUUAAAGUCAGAACUAAAUCUAUGCAAAGCCAAAACUUCACCUGGUUGUAAUUCUCCUAAGCAGAGAAUUCCUGUGAGCUUGACCUCUGCUUCUAUUUUUCCAUCCUGCAAGAAAAUAAAGAAUUAAAGGGACAACCUCCAUUCUUUAUCUGUUGUUGAAUACCAAGGAUUCUUCAAUACCUUAGUUACUUAAUCUUCCACACAGUUUGUGCUAUCUGCAUUGUCUUCUAUGUAAUGCGUUUGUUAUGAUUAUUUCGAUUGAAGCACAUACUUGUUAUCAAUUACAUGN
rnacentral:lncRNA from 1 species